UUGAUUUUGGGGAGCUGCCGCCCUGCCCCUCAAAAUAAAUCUG
ensembl:snoRNA